rnacentral:lncRNA from 1 species
UGAGAUGCGCCUACUUCUCCCUGGAGAAGCUCGAGGAAGCAGGAAUGCUGGAGAUGAGAGUUGUAGGAGCUCUUUCUGAAUUCUGCCUCUAACCCCAUGUUGGCUUUUUGUAUUUCAGAGACCUCGUCUGCUCAGGGGCUUGUUCUUACAUCUUUUGCAGGGCUGUUUUGAAGUCAGUAUUCACUUAAGCACUCCAAAUUGGGGGAGGGGGAGGAGAGGGAGUGGGUUGGAGGAGGGAAGGAGGAGGAGAAGGAGAGGAGGAGGAGAUGAGACCAAGGACAAGAGGUGAAGGAAGAGAGGAGGACACAGAAAAGAGAAGAAAGAGGAGAGGAGGAGACGGAGAAGAGGAGGAGGAGCAGCAAAGAAGGAAGAAGAGGAAGAGGACUAGAAGAGCAAGUUCCAGUUCUCGGUGCGCCCCGUUCUGCAAGACACUCUCCUGUGGUCAGCCCUGGCCUGCAGAGGAUUCCCGCGCUGGAUCUCUGAAGGAUGCUGGCGCCCUCUCUGCAGCACAUUCCUGAUGCCCUUGCUGACACAUGUGUCCUCUGGGUCCUCUCCUGAAACCUGAUCCUCCGGGGUGUCUUCUGGCCUCACCUCUUCUGUCCAGUUCCAGCAAGCUCACUUUGCUUAGCCUUUGAAUCCCUUCCUUCACUGUCUGCUGUGACAAUUCGGGCCUUUCACUGUCACUCAGGCCUGGACCAUCACUGUUGCCCAUCCCAUGCCAUCAACAGGUUUGCCCCAUCCCUUCGGCUCCCUACCAGGGCAUUCAGUUGUGUUGAGCAGCAGAGUGCCUCCAAGUCCCCACUGGUUGAGCUGCAUCCGGGUCCCAUCCCACAGGGACCCCCCCUGGCCGCUGCAGGUGCAUGCUGAUCCUGCAGCUCCUCGAGGGUGUCAUCGACCCAGCACACCCUGCCUGCAUGGCGCUGCGCUGCACCUUCACUCUGGUCACGGGUCUGGCAGUCGGCUCACCAAUUCGUCCUGCUUCCCUGGGACUCGCCGGCUUUUAGCACUGCAAUUCACUCAGCAAACUGGGACUGUUGGUCACCCUACCUGGCAGCCAG